rnacentral:snRNA from 1 species
AUGCUUGCCUCAGCAGCACUUAUAUAAAGUUGGAACCAUACAGAGAGGAAUAGCAUGGCCCCUGUACAAGAAUAACAUGAAAAUUUGUGAAGUGUUCCAUAUAAAA